rnacentral:rRNA from 1 species
GUUGAUCCCGCCGGGACCCGACUGCUAUCAGAGUGGGACUAAGCCAUGCGAGUCGACACAGCAAUGUGUGGCAUACGGCUCAGUAACACGUAGUCAACAUGCCCAGGGGACGUGGAUAACCUCGGGAAACUGAGGAUAAACCGCGAUAGGUCACUACUUCUGGAAUGGGUAAUGACCCAAACCUAUAUGGCCCCUGGAUUGGACUGCGGCCGAUCAGGCUGUUGGUGAGGUAAUGGCCCACCAAACCUGUAACCGGUACGGGCUCUGAGAGGAGGAGCCCGGAGAUGGGCACUGAGACAAGGGCCCAGGCCCUAUGGGGCGCAGCAGGCGCGAAACCUCUGCAAUAGGCGAAAGCUUGACAGGGUUACUCUGAGUGAUCUCCGUUAAGGAGAUCUUUUGGCAUCUCUAAAAAUGGUGCAGAAUAAGGGGUGGGCAAGUCUGGUGUCAGCCGCCGCGGUAAUACCAGCACCCCGAGUGGUCGGGACGUUUAUUGGGCCUAAAGCAUCCGUAGCCGGUUCUACAAGUCUUCCGUUAAAUCCACCUGCUCAACAGAUGGGCUGCGGAAGAUACUAUGGAGCUAGGAGGCGGGAGAGGCAAGCGGUACUCGAUGGGUAGGGGUAAAAUCCGUUGAUCCAUUGAAGACCACCAGUGGCGAAGGCGGCUUGCCAGAACGCGCUCGACGGUGAGGGAUGAAAGCUGGGGGAGCAAACCGGAUUAGAUACCCGGGUAGUCCCAGCUGUAAACGAUGCAGACUCGGUGAUGAGUUGGCUUUAUGCCAACUCAGUGCCGCAGGGAAGCCGUUAAGUUUGCCGCCUGGGGAGUACGGUCGCAAGACUGAAACUUAAAGGAAUUGGCGGGGGAGCACCACAAGGGGUGAAGCCUGCGGUUCAAUUGGAGUCAACGCCGGG